CCUACGGGGGGCAGCAGUGAGGAAUAUUGGUCAAUGGCCGAGAGGCUGAACCAGCCAAGUCGCGUGAGGGAAGACGGCCCUAUGGGUUGUAAACCUCUUUUGUCGGGGAGCAAAGCGAGUCACGUGUGACUCAUUGAGAGUACCCGAAGAAAAAGCAUCGGCUAACUCCGUGCCAGCAGCCGCGGUAAUACGGAGGAUGCGAGCGUUAUCCGGAUUUAUUGGGUUUAAAGGGUGCGCAGGCGGAGGUGCAAGUCAGCGGUCAAAUUGCGGGGCUCAACCCCGUACUGCCGUUGAAACUGCAUCCUUUGAGUGCGCGAGAAGUAUGAGGAAGGCGUGGGGUAGCGGUGAAAGGCAUAGAUAUCACGCAGAACUCGGAUGGGGAAGGCAGCAUACCGGCGCGCAACUGACGCUCAUGAACGAAAGCGUGGGUAUCGAACAGGAUUAGAUACCCGAGUAGUC
rnacentral:rRNA from 1 species